AGCCGCUGAUGACAAACUAAAACACUUUUCUGACACCUCGUAUGAGAGCUGUGAAGCUCCUGAUUCUAACGCUGGUCUGAGGCUC